rnacentral:rRNA from 1 species
CAGUAGCCGCGGUAAUACGUAAGGGGCAAGCGUUAUCCGGAUUUACUGGGUGUAAAGGGAGCGCAGACGGCAAUGCAAGUCUGAAGUGAAAGGCGUGGGCUCAACCCACGAACUGCUUUGGAAACUGUAUAGCUUGAGUGUCGGAGGGGUAAGCGGAAUUCCUAGUGUAGCGGUGAAAUGCGUAGAUAUUAGGAGGAACACCGGAGGCGAAGGCGGCUUACUGGACGACAACUGACGUUGAGGCUCGAAGGCGUGGGGAGCAAACAGGAUUAGAUACCCGUGUAGUCCCUGUCUCUUAUAC